UACGUAGGGUGCAAGCGUUGUCCGGAAUUAUUGGGCGUAAAGAGCUCGUAGGUGGCCUGUCGCGUCGGCUGUGAAAACUCGGGGCUCAACUCCGAGCUUGCAUUCGAUACGGGCAGGCUAGAGUUCGGUAGGGGAGACUGGAAUUCCUGGUGUAGCGGUGAAAUGCGCAGAUAUCAGGAGGAACACCGGUGGCGAAGGCGGGUCUCUGGGCCGAUACUGACGCUGAGGAGCGAAAGCGUGGGGAGCGAACAGG
rnacentral:rRNA from 1 species